AUGUCUCGCUGCUUUCUUACUGUGAUUGGAUUUGGUGUUCGUGUGGAAGUAUACAAUCGUAAGUGGCAAACUAACUGAAUCAAGGAUGGAGAUAGAAAUACUUCUUUCUUUCAUAGAGCCAUACUUAAAUGAAGGAGAAGGAACACUAUUGUCUAUGUCAAAGAUGAGAACAAUAUUAUUCACUAUAUGCCAAAGCAAAUCAGUAAUACUUUUGUGAGCUACUUUAUUAAUUGUGGCAGGCCUUACUUAGACUCACAACUUCCUCAACAUAACAAUGACUACACAUACUCGAUGCCGGACAAACAAGAAAUAUGGAACACCCUCAAUGAGAUGAAGAGGAAUGCAUCGCCAGGGCCUGAUGGAUUCAACGUCGAGUUCUACCUUGCCACUUGGAGUUGGAUUGGAGAUGAUGUAACAAAUCUGGUAAGAACUUUUUUCGACACGGGGAUCAUGCCAGCACACAUCAAUGAUACUCACAUUGUUUUGAUCCCCAAGAAACUAGUCUCCUUGGUGCCAGCUGACUAUAGACCGAUUAGUCUUUGCAAUGCAGUAUACAAACUCAUUGCAAAAUCUCUCGCCAAUAGAAUAAAGCCUCAUCUUCCGGAUUACGUGCAUCCUUCACAACAAGCUUUUAUUGAAGGGCGUUGUAUUAGAAAUAAUAUCAUUAUAGCCUAA
rnacentral:rRNA from 1 species